AUUGAACGCUGGCGGAAUGCUUUACACAUGCAAGUCGAACGAUGAACCUUAGCUUGCUAAGGGGAUUAGUGGCGAACGGGUGAGUAAUAUAUCGGAACGUGCCUUGUAAUGGGGGAUAACUAGUCGAAAGAUUAGCUAAUACCGCAUACGCCCUGAGGGGGAAAGUAGGGGAUCUUCGGACCUUACGUUAUAAGAGCGGCCGUUAUCUGAUUAGCUAGUUGGUGGGGUAAUGGCCUACCAAGGCGACGAUCAGUAGCUGGUCUGAGAGGACGACCAGCCACACUGGAACUGAGACACGGUCCAGACUCCUACGGGAGGCAGCAGUGGGGAAUUUUGGACAAUGGGCGCAAGCCUGAUCCAGCCAUUCCGCGUGAGUGAAGAAGGCCUUCGGGUUGUAAAGCUCUUUCGCAAGGGAAGAAAACUUACCAUCGAAUAAAUGGUGAGGCUGACGGUACCUUGAUAAGAAGCACCGGCUAACUACGUG
rnacentral:rRNA from 1 species